AAUGCGUCUCUCUGAUCUGAAUGGUCUCUACCUAAACCUCAGCACCUGCAGACAAUCCUGAAUCAGAGCCUCUGCUGCUCCAAAAACUGACAAUGAGACAAACUUCUGUGUGUCUCGAUCUGCAAGUUAAAGCUCUGACACCACAGAGCGCCCACGUCUCCUCAAACCUCGAACCCGGAACCAUGGACCAGGACCCGAGACCUGGUUCAGUCCUCGGACCGUCCAAGAUCCAAGAGAAAGAGCUCAAAACUAAACCAGGACUAACACGAACCAAAUUCAACUGGAGGCAGCUUUUCAAAAUCAGGCCGAAAAAGAAGAACAAAGCACGAACUUGGAACAUUUUCAACGCAAAAUGCUUCAAAAUUGGACCAAAAAUAAAAGUUCAGUCAAAGAAAAGUGGAGUUUUUGUCCCGUUAAAGGUAAAUGUGAAGCUAAAACCUAAACCGUGUCAACUUUUUAAACGCAAAACCGAAGUGAAAGUCGAGGAAACGCCCAAAGAUCUGGACAAAACUGUGAAACAAAACCAAACUUUUGCUCAAAAAUCACUGAAGAAACGUUACGUGAAAGAGAAAAAGUGUAAGAAAUUCGUGAAUGAGGAAAAUUCAAAACUAAAAACUAAACCCAGGCUGGAUAAUUCGAUCAGAUCUGUGCUGUGCUUCGUCGUCGUCUCGAUAGCGGCUGAGGUUCUGUGGUUCUGUGUUCUGCAGCUCUACUGGCUCUGUGUGAAGCUUUACCCGCUCACAUGACGGUCGCCGGUUCAAUUCCUGAUACUGUGGACUUCUGUGUCCUUGGGCAAGAAACCUGAAUUUAAAAAGUGACUUGGAGUUUCAAAUUUUCACAAAACUAGGAGUUGUUUGAAAAGAGUGAAGGAGUUUUAAGUAAAUGGGCUUUAAAAACAAGGAGGAGCUUUGUGGAUUGUCACACGAUGAUGCAGAUGCAGUGGGUUCUUUAUAAAGCACAAAACGACAGAAUAUUUAGUUCAUAAUAAUUUAUUUAUUUUUGAGUAAAAACUUUUGUUCAUUCACAAUAUUUUUUUGUCCAAACAUAAAAUAAAGUUGUUUGAUUGUC